rnacentral:lncRNA from 1 species
GCUGCCUGUCUCUACAGCAAGUUCCUCUGCUCACUGACUGUGAGACUCAGAGUUACGUGACCUCUACUUCCACCCCCCAAUCUGUGCUUUGGGGUUAUUAACAGCACCCUCUUCCAGGGAUCUGUGGUACAAAUUAAAUGCACUAGCAGGUGCAGGGAAAGGUGAGCUGUUGAAACUACUGCUCAUAUUUUCCUCCCCUUCCUCCCUCUCAGCUCUGGUUCACUCCCCUGCCACCUCAUAUAAUUAAUCAAUCUGAAGGAAUUCAGUAAGAACAAGAAACAUUAUCUGAGCACAUACUCUGUUCCAGAUACUCUGCGAUUCAGUAGCUCUGCCAGGAGAUGGAUAUAUCAAAAUCAGAAUUACAAGGCAAUGUGAAUAAUCAUUUGCGAUCAACUUAAGAAAAUAACAGCUAUAAAGCAGUAUAGCAACUACAACAACAUCGACAUAAGUAAGGGGAGGAAGAGAUGCAGAAAAGGGGAGCAGAGAAGGGAAGGCUCUGGAGGGAGAGAAGUACCCGUGAAUGGAGGGUCCAAGCUGGAUUUAUAGGCAAACACAGCACCUGAGACAGCAUAGAGGCAUCUCCAGGGUCACUUCCUGCCCUCCGCUUCCAAGCAUCUCCCCGUGCUGUUUACCUCCCCAUAGAAUGUCCCUCAUCUUCUACAAUCCAGCUCAAGCCCCACUUUCCCCAAGAAGCCUGUCCCAACAUCUAGAACUCAUUUGCUCCUUCCCUGUACUUUUAUUUAGAAGCCUGUCCCUGAGCUCUGACCAAACCAACAGUCUUCAGUCUCCUUUAGAGAAAUCACCUUCUAAUUCUCUGUAUUUUUCCUCUCCCCUCUCCCAAGUGCCCACACAGUGCUGGAUACACAGUAGGAGCAUUUCAUUGGAUGAAACGAUGACUGAAACAAUUAAAUAACUAAUGUUUGGUCCCAUCAUCAUGGCUGGGAGAGGCCACUUCCCACUGAAAUCUCCAUCAGCCUUUGAAGAAAUCAGAGCGAUUUGCCUUUUCGGCUUUCACACUACGAUGCUCCUUUUCCAUGAUUCUCUUCAGGAAUCCCAGGGAGCAGAAGGGACCUGGCUGGUGAUCACAAAAUGGCUGGGAGACAAGAAGGAAAGGGAUGUAGAAAGCUGGCAAACACAACCCUCAUUGCUGAAAUGUCAAACCGACUGAAGUCAAGCCCAUUAAUCUUGUUUUAUUGCAAGAUUCACAAUCUCCAUGCUAUGGCAGCCACAAAAUUGAUGGAUGGGUUUCCCUGCGUUCACCCAGCGCCUCCGCUGCCUGGGAAACCAGAUCUCAGAUGAACAGGCAGAGGAAAUUAAACCUGCCUUUCGAGGUUUUCAGUAACUGCUAGUAGAGAAAGAUGGGGCAUUCGGGGUCUCUGGCAGCCAAGGUGCUUACGCUUGGUUUUUCCUGCAUUUUUUUGUAAGCAAAUCAAAGAAACAGCAGUGCUGAAACCAUCAUGGUAAAUCUUCAGCACCUUCCACUCCAAGGAGGGGGUGGGAGUGGUUACAACCUGGCCGCCCUGUUGCUUGAGGCCGCCAGGCUGUGAUCUUGUUUGACUUCUUGCUAAUGAAGUAGGUGAAAGAUGAUAAUGCCUGGCUGUUUUAAUUUGCAAUUUUUUUGAUCACUGGGGAGGCUGAAUCUUUUUCCAUAUGUCAGUUUUCUAGCGGGAUUUCCUCUUUUGUAAAUAACCUUUUUCUUUGUGCCCCUAAUAUAAUUCAACAUUCAGUUCAGCAGUUCCACAUUUAUUGUGGACCUAUUAUGUGAGUAGCACAUUCAGUGCAAGAUAUACAGACAAAUGUCUAUUCCAUUUCCAAAUACAGUGCAGGAAUGGGGGUGGAAAGAGAGAGAGAGUCCAAACCUAUGUCACUUCGAUAUAGUGAUGUCGCUAUGUCACUGCAAUACAGCUGAUAAGGAUCCUCCCAGAAUACUUUCCUUGAUUUUGCUGUGAUUUGUGUUAAUUUUAGAGAAUAUAGAGGCAUUUCAAUUUUUUAUGUCAUGCAUUGUGUAUCUUCAGAUCUUUGCUCAUUCUGUUUUCUACCUUUCUAUUUUCUGUUUCUUUUCUUUUCUUUCUUUCUUUUUUUUUUUUAAGGGCUGUACCCACGCCUGGGAACGUCCAUAUGCCUGGGUGCAGCCCUAAAAAGAGACAAAUAAUAAAUAAAUGAAAUAAAAAAUACAAUCUUGGAGUUCCCUGGUAGCUUAGUGGUUAAGGAUCCAGCAUUGUCACUGCUGUGGUGCAGGUUUGAUCCCUGGCUCUGGAACUUCUGCAUGCCGCAGGUGCAGCCAAAAAUAAAAA